UACUGCCUAUCANAGGGGAAGUAACAAGUGAGAAAUCAUUGCUAAUACCGCAUAUGCCAUAAUUAUCGCAUGAUAAUAGUGGGAAAGGAGCAAUCCGCUGAUAGAUGAGCUUGCGUCUGAUUAGCUAGUUGGUGGGGUAACGGCCUACCAAGGCAACGAUCAGUAGCCGGACUGAGAGGUUGAACGGCCACAUUGGGACUGAGAUACGGCCCAGACUCCUACGGGAGGCAGCAG
rnacentral:rRNA from 1 species